rnacentral:rRNA from 1 species
UACAGAGGGUGCGAGCGUUGUCCGGAAUCACUGGGCAUAAAGGGCGCGUAGGUGGUGGCUUAAGCGUGCGGUGAAAGCUCGGAGCUCAACUCCGAGUCGGCCGUGCGAACUGGGCUCACUGGAGCAUAGUAGAGGCAGGUGGAAUUCCGGGUGUAGCGGUGGAAUGCGUAGAGAUCCGGAAGAACACCGGUGGCGAAGGCGGCCUGCUGGGCUAUGGCUGACACUGAGGCGCGACAGCGUGGGGAGCAAACAGG